rfam:Pedobacter luteus strain DSM 22385 genome assembly, contig: LY14DRAFT_scaffold00002.2
AAAAAAGUGGAUCGAUUUGCGUUGAUUGCAACCACGUAAAAAAAAGUGCUAAAACAUACUCU